CCCUUUCUCGCCAUGCCACAGCUAUAGUGGCCAAUGAAACAGACAAGGUAAGGCACUUUGAGUGGGGACUCAACUCGGGACUCUGAGACAAGCUGGUCGCAGUGCAGCUACCUACUUAUGCACAGGUAGUAGAUAGGGCUCUUGCUCUAGAAAGAGAGAAAAUGGACACUGCAAGGACUCAAGGUCAGCAGUCUAGAGCUAACCAGCAAAGAAGCAGGGGACCCUCAAGGAACAAUAGGACCCCUACUGCUUUGAUACCUUAUGCUAAGAGGCCACAACAACAGCAAGUGUAUAAUCCUGAACAGCGUAGUAGGGAAGGGGCUAGGAGGUGUUAUGAAUGUGGCCAAGAAAGGCACCUUAGGAACAACAAUCCUCAAAGGUCAGGCUACUACAUUUAUCAAGGAGGGGCCACUCAACGGAACAAAUGUGUGCCAACUCAAGGAGCGCAAGCUGUGCAAAAUUCCCAAUCCAGUAGAGGUCAGCCGCCAGCUAAUCGGAAUAUGGGACAACCGAGGGCUCAACAACCAGGAGAUGCCAAUACAAGGAAACCUUAGGGGCAAAAUCAAGGUGCCACUAGAAGAGUCUUUGCACUCCAAGAAGGAGAAGAUACUGGAAAUCCUUCAGUGAUUCAAGGUAUACUUAUCCUUAUGAACUCUUAUGUACAAGUCUUGUUUGAUUCUGGAGCAUCACACUCUUUUAUAUCUGCUUCGUGUGUUAUAACUUUGGGACUAGAGCCUGAACGGCUAGAAACACCUAUGAGUGUAGCCUCACCACUAGGAGGUCAAACUCGAGUAGAUCUCAUAUGCAAAUCAUGUGAACUAGGAGUCUCCAGUUUGCAUUUUACUUGCGACCUACGAGUCAUGGAAAUGUCAGACUUUGACGUUAUCUUAGAAAUGGACUGGUUACCAGCCCAUAGAGCCACCAUUGAUUGCUAUCGAAAGACGGUGACUGCUUACUCUCAGGACUGAAUGCGAUUCCAAUAUAAGGGGGAUAGACAAGAUUCCCUAUCACCGACUCUUCGAAAAUCAAAGUGGCACGAUCACCUAGCUGGAUGGUUAGCCAACUUAGUUUUGGAAGACAGAGAUCAUAUGGAACUAGGGCUACCUCGUGUGGUACGCGAGUAUAUUGAUGCAUUUCCGGAGGAAUUACCAGGACUAAUCCCAAAGCGAAAAGUAGACUUUACCAUCGAACUACAACCUGGCACAUCACCAAUCUCAAUGGCACCACAUCGUAUGGCACCAGCUGAACUGAGAGAGCUAAAGACACAGUUGCGAGAAUUGUUGGACAAGGAAUUUAUAAGGCCAAGCACGUCCCCAUAGGGAGCACCAGCCUUAUUCGCUAAGAAGAAAGAUGGGACACUUAGGUUGUGCAUUGAUUACCGCCAACUCAAUAGAGUCACCAUUAAGAAUUGGUAUCCACUACCUAGGAUUGACAACCUCUUUGAUCAGCUCAGAGGGGCAAAGUGUUUCUCAAAGAUAGGCCUCAGAUCUGGGUAUCACCAGUUGCGUAUUCGGGAAGAAGAUAUUCCUAAGACUGCAUUUCGAACCCGUUACGGCCACUAUGAGUUUGUAGUGAUGCCAUUCGGCUUAACCAAUGCACCAAGUGUGUUCAUGAGUUUAAUGAACAAAAUAUGCACGCCUUACUUAGAUCAAUUUGUGAAAGUUUUCAUUGAUGAUAUUUUGGUGUAUUCCAAGUCUGAAGGAGACCAUGAACAACAUUUGAGAAGAGUACUUCAAACCUUGAGGGAGAACCAACUGUAUGCUAAAGCUAGUAAAUGUGAAUUCUAGAUGGAUGAAGUAAAAUUUUUGGGUCACGUGGUGUCUGCAAAGGGAGUAUCGGUGGACCCAACUAAAGUAGAGGCAGUGACAGAAUGAAAGCAACCUAAGAACACAUUCGAGAUUCGUAGUUUCUUAAGGUUGGCCGAUUACUAUCGAAGAUUCCUUUAGAACUUCUCAAGGUUGGCUAAACCAAUGACACGCUUGACUCAAAAAGAAGUUAAGUUUGAAUGGAACGAGUCUUGUAAAAAUUCAUUCCAAGAACUUAAGAAAAGAUUGACGAGUGCCCCUAUUCUCAUAGUACUAGAGCGUGACGUUGGGUACAAUGUGUAUUGUGAUGCUUCCAAAGAAGGUUUGGGGUGCGUGUUGAUGCAAAAUGACAAGGUGGUGGCAUAUGGAUAAAGGCAAUUAAAGAACCAUGAGAAGAAUUAUCUCACUCAUGACUUGGAGUUAGCAGCCAUAGUUCAUGCACUCAAAAUUUGGAAACACUACCUAUAUGGUGAAAAGUUUGAGAUAUUCACUGACCACAAAAGCUUGAAGUAUCUGUUCACCCAAAAGGACUCGAACAUGCGUCAGAGACGUUGGAUGGAGUACCUUGAGGAUUACCAAUUUACCCUUUCUUAUCAUCCCAGCAAGACUAAUGUUGUAGCAGAUGCAUUAAGCCGCAAAAAUAGAGGGACUGUUGCUAGCUUAGCCCUUAGAGAAUGGAAUAUGAUUGGAACGCUCAAUGAAUUUGGGGUACAGAUGGAGGUUCAAGAUGAAAAGGCUUACCUUGGUGCUCAAAUUGCUACGCCUAAAAUUUUGAGCGAGAUAUUAGAAUCACAGCAAUACGAUCAGGAGGUGGCAUUCAUCAAGGCACGAAUGGAAUCUAGUGAAACCAUGCUUGGUCGAGUGUUCGUGCUGAGUGACGACUCACUAAGAGAAAAGGUACUUAAGGAAUUUCACCAUUCAGUAUUCGCAGUACAUCCAGGAGGUACUAAGAUGUACCAAGACUUAAAACACCAAUAUUGGUGGGGCGGAAUGAAAAAGGAUGUAGCCAAGUUUGUGUCUAAGUGCUUGACAUGUCAACAAGUAAAGGCUUAAUACCAAAGACCAGCAGGAACAUUUCAACCUUUACCAAUCCAGGAGUGGAAAUGGGAACACAUAACCAUGGAUUUUGUGACGGCUUUGCCUCGAUCACCACAGAGACAUGACGGCGUAUGGGUAGUGGUAGAUCGACUAACUAAGAUUUCCCGAUUCUUACCAGUCGGGUCAUCAGAUACGUUAGACUCACUCAGUAGAUUGUUCAUCAAAGAAGUGAUCAGAUUACACGGAGUACCAGUUAGCAUCGUGUCUGAUCGUGAUCCUCGAUUCACUUUCCAAUUUUGGCAGAGCUUGCAGAAGGCAAUGGGAACGAACUUAUGUUUUAGCACGGCAUUUCACCCACAAACAGAUGGACAAUCUGAAAGGACGAUACAAACCUUGGAGGAUAUGCUUCGAGCUUGCGUUAUGGAUUUUGAUAGAAGUUCGGAGAAACACUUACCUCUCGUUGAGUUCGCUUACAACAAUAGUUUCCAGGCCAAUAUUAGAAUGGCACCGUAUGAAACACUUUAUGGGCGACCUUGUCGAUCACCAAUCUGUUGGACAGAAGUAGGGAAGAAAGCAACCUUGCUAGGACCAGACCUAGUUCAGGAGACCACUGACAAUGACUAAUCACAGCCCAAAGUCAACAAAAGAGUUAUGUGGAUCAAAGGAGACGGCCUUUAACUUUUGAGGUAGGCGAUCAUGUUUUUCUGAAAGUUCGACCUUGACGAGGUACUACGCGAUUCGGAAAGAAAG